AAGGCGUAACAAGGUUUCCGUAGGUGAACCUGCGGAAGGAUCAUUAACACGUAUCCAAACGUUAAAACCCCCCCGUGAACCUUCAUCCUGCUCUUGUAACCCGCGUAGUUCGCAAUCUCUGAUAAAUCAUAGCCCGGAAAGUUGUAGUGAUUCAGAGACCUCUGGCUACGUGCGAACAUUAGAACAGUUACAAUCGAGCGGUAGUUCUAUAGGCAAUGUUAACGAUGAAGAACGCAGC
rnacentral:misc_RNA from 1 species